UACAGAGGCCUCGAGCGUUAGGCGGAAUCACUGGGCUUAAAGCGUGUGUAGGCGGACUUCUAAGUACCUUGUGAAAUCCCACGGCUUACCCGUGGAACGGCUGGGUAUACUGGGGAGUCUUGAGCCACCUAGGGGCGAGUGGAACAAAUGGUGGAGCGGUGAAAUGCGUAGAUAUCAUUUGGAACGCCAAUGGGUGAAAACAACUCGCUGGGGGUGUGCUGACGCUGAGACACGGAAAGCCCAGGGGAGCGAACGGG
rnacentral:rRNA from 1 species